AUUCAUCUGACGAGUCCCAAAUAGGACGAAACAUGCGUCAAACUGGAU
rnacentral:hammerhead_ribozyme from 1 species